AUUUCUAGCAUAUAGAAACAUUACUGACUUAUGUGCAUUAAUCUUGUAUCCCGCUACUUUGCUAAAUUUGUUUAUUACUGUUUACUUUUUAUAAUUGACACUUCAUGAUACUAAGUUAAAGCUCUUUCAGACUUGCCGGAAUAGAAACAAAAGGAUUUUAAAUUUAAGACUAAAAAUGGACAGACAAAACUGACAUCAGAGAUUAGUAUAGAUUGAGAGUCUUUAGGACUGGCUGGUUUCUGAGAACUGUGGUUUUGCAAUUCCCCAAGUUAUUUCUAAUGCCACUGCUUUUCUUUUUUCUUUCUGUUGUUUUUAAGUUGGAAAUUGUAGUGAUCGAUGCAGAUUUAAUACAAGAGAAAUCUUGGCUUUUCCUGGCAGGGAUUUUCUUGCACCACCCAUUGUCAUAAUGGAUUACAUGCUGUACCCUGAUGGAAGAACAGAGUUUCUAGGCCAACAGAAAAUCGCAAAUACAUGGUAAACCAUCUGCUUUGUCCAGUGACUGAGAAAUAAUAAUGUGACCAAUGAUCCAAGCCAGAAGGAGCUGCCAGGCCAACUGUGCCCAGUCCUCCAUCAGCUUGAUGUCUGAAGGUGCAGGGAGAUUUGUCUUGGCAGCCACUCUGCCAGCAUCUGACAUCUGUCUCCCAUAAUUCCUCAUUAUUGUUGGUUCCAAAAACUCAUAUCUGCCAGUCAAAUGGCUUUUCGACUGAUGGACAGUCGAAGGAUGCCUUCUCAGCCGGACAUGGUUCUCUAGAACUCCCCUUUAUUUGAAUACAUGCCCCCACUAAUCCCUUUUCAUGCCUUGCCUUUUAGCCUGUCAUUUAAUGGGAAAGAACUCUCCCCAAGUCCAAAUUCAUUGGGAAGAAUGGCAGCAGCACGAAGGGGAUACUAUGAAAGUUUGAUACAUGGCAAAUAUAAGGAGAUGAUUGCUCUUAAAACAGCUGAUACCUAGAGACUUUCUGGGAAAGUAUCGACCAAGAUGUUCAGAGGCUCAGUGAGCUGAGCAAGGAAUGGGAACCUGCUGAGGCCAAGAGUUCUCUUCCACUUUUGCUCCUACAUUGCUGGGUGACUGUAAGUGGAGCAUCACUCCUGCCAGGCCUCAGGGAAGGGAAGGUGACAACAGCCCCAAGAAAAGAAUAUCUCUUUCUGGAGGAUAAGGAAAGGAAUCUCGACAGAAAUAAAGGGUGUGGGAGACUGGUGAGAAGAGCAAGGUUGCCCUGCCCCCUGGACUGGAAAGCUCCCCGGGGCUAGAUGGGGGAGGAAGGGAGUGUUGGAAUUAAAGGGACAAGAGAAUAGAUGUUGGUGGGUCCCUGAGGAACAGGGGCAAACUACAGAUGUGAUUUAAAAAAAAAAAAACUAAAUAAAUUUCGGUGAUUGGGAGCAGAGCAGAACCCA